rnacentral:rRNA from 1 species
UACGUAGGGUGCGAGCGUUGUCCGGAAUUACUGGGCGUAAAGAGCGCGCAGGCGGUCGUGCAAGUCGCGUGUGAAAGCCCCUGGCUCAACUGGGGAGGGUCACGCGAUACUGUUCGACUCGAAGGCAGGAGAGGGAAGUGGAAUUCCCGGUGUAGUGGUGAAAUGCGUAGAUAUCGGGAGGAACACCAGUGGCGAAGGCGACUUCCUGGCCUGUUCUUGACGCUGAGGCGCGAAAGCUAGGGUAGCAAACGGG